GAGUCUGCAACUCGACUCCAUGAAGUCGGAAUCGCUAGUAAUCGCGAAUCAGAAUGUCGCGGUGAAUACGUUCCCGGGCCUUGUACACACCGCCCGUCACACCAUGGGAGUGGAUUGCACCAGAAGUAGUUAGUCUAACCUUCGGGAGGACGAUUACCACGGUGUGGUUCAUGACUGGGGUGAAGUCGUAACAAGGUAGCCGUAGGGGAACCUGCGGCUGGAUCACCUCCUUAACGACGAAGAC
rnacentral:rRNA from 1 species